rnacentral:rRNA from 1 species
UGGGGAAUAUUGCACAAUGGGGGAAACCCUGAUGCAGCGACGCCGCGUGAACGAAGAAGGUAUUCGUAUCGUAAAGUUCUGUCCUAUGGGAAGAUAAUGACAGUACCAUAGAAGAAAGCUCCGGCUAAAUACGUGCCAGCAGCCGCGGUAAUACGUAUGGAGCGAGCGUUGUCCGGAAUUAUUGGGCGUAAAGGGUACGCAGGCGGUUUAAUAAGUCGAAUGUUAAAGAUCGGGGCUCAACCCCGUAAAGCAUUGGAAACUGAUAAACUUGAGUAGUGGAGAGGAAAGUGGAAUUCCUAGUGUAGUGGUGAAAUACGUAGAUAUUAGGAGGAUUACCAGUAGCGAAGGCGACUUUCUGGACACAAACUGACGCUGAGGUACGAAAGCGUGGGGAGCAAACAGG